UACGGAGGGGGCAAGCGUUGUUCGGAAUUAUUGGGCGUAAAGGGCGUGUAGGCGGCCGAUCAAGUCGGGUGUGAAAUCCCUCGGCUCAACCGAGGAAUUGCACUCGAUACUGGUUGGCUAGAGUCCGGGAGGGGGUGGCGGAAUUCCCAGUGUAGCGGUGAAAUGCGUAGAUAUUGGGAAGAACACCGGUAGCGAAGGCGGCCACCUGGACCGGAACUGACGCUGAGGCGCGAAAGCCAGGGGAGCGAAUGGG
rnacentral:rRNA from 1 species